rnacentral:rRNA from 1 species
UACGGGGGGGGUAAGCGUUGUCCGGAUUUACUGGGCGUAAAGAGCGCGCAGGCGGUCGUUCAAGUCGAGUGUGAAAGCCCCCGGCUCAACUGGGGAGGGUCAUUCGAUACUGAUCGACUCGAAGGCAGGAGAGGGAAGCGGAAUUCCCGGUGUAGUGGUGAAAUGCGUAGAUAUCGUAAGGAAGACCAGUGGCGAAGGCGGGUCUCUGGACAGUUCCUGACGCUGAGACGCGAAAGCGUGGGGAGCGAACAGG